rnacentral:lncRNA from 1 species
ACCUCCCUUCUCCAUCUCCUCCUCCGCAUCACCCCUUCCUAUUCUCCUUAACGGCUCACUUCCUUCCUCUUCUUGCUGAGACCUGUUCUUCUUGCCGACACCGGAUUCGUCCGCCUCCCACCAAGCACGACAAUAGAUCCCGUCCAGGAAUCGCACCGGCAUCAAGUCCGAUCCCUUCGAGAAUUCAAGGUGCGCCUCCUUCCCUUUUCUCUCCAAGGCUCUCAUGGGAUAACUGUUCUGGCACAUGAUCUGAUUGCCAUUCAUUCGACCACAUGGUCUAGAUUGUGAUCAGAUGGUGUUCCUGACAAUUUCGAUUUUAUUUGCCUAAUUUACAAGCCACAACAAGAAACAAUAUAAUUUCUGUAAGACAAAUAAAAUUCAUGUGUCCUAGAUCCCCUUUUCUCUUGUUGUAAGCAAAUGAAUAUCUUGAUGUAAGCAAAUGCAAGUUAAUGAAGGAAAUUGGAUAAUGUGCUUCCGACAAUCUUGCAAAAUAGGUGUAUAUCUUCUGCUCAUCUGAUUUACACUUCUCAAAAGGUUUAGGUUGUUGUCACUGUUAGUGUUAGUUUCAAUGAAAGAUUAUGGAUAUGCAUUGUCAAAUAGUCAGCAGUUACUGCUAUAUGUGAACUACAGUUACUUUUUUGCAUAUUGCGAUGAUUGGUACCUUUUUUCAUCUUGUAACUUGCAUUCCCCUAGUAAAUAUUAAUCUUUUCUUUUAUGCCUUUCCUAUACCGAUCCAACCUGAGUUAAGCUUUCCAGCUCCUAUGCCUGACAGUCUUUUCUUUAAAGUUCAUAUCUUUGUCUUUCCUGCUGGCUAUUCAGUUGAUAGUUGGCUGUGAGUCUGAAUCGAUAUUUGAUCUAUGGCUGCACUUUCAACAGAAUAUAUAUUCAAUCACUAUUAGCUUCUGUUACUGCAUUUCAUAUGUAUGAUAUUGCUGCUGAUUCUCAUUUAUGCCUUUUUGAAAUAGAUGUCUUCUCACUGGUCAGAGGCCUCUGGUACUAGUGAGAGCACCAACAACAGUUCGUCACAAACACCAAAUAGAAGGGCACUAGUCCAGGAGUAUUAUGAGCUGGAAUUGAUCAAGAUAGAUGGUGUCCUAACAGUAAUUUGCAACUACUGUGAAUUAAAGUUGACUACGA